UACGAAGGGGGCUAGCGUUGCUCGGAAUGACUGGGCGUAAAGGGCGCGUAGGCGGAUGGCACAGUCAGAUGUGAAAUUCCCGGGCUUAACCUGGGAGCUGCAUUUGAUACGUGUGAUCUAGAGUGAGGAAGAGGGUCGUGGAAUUCCCAGUGUAGAGGUGAAAUUCGUAGAUAUUGGGAAGAACACCGGUGGCGAAGGCGGCCCGCUGGGCAGUAGCUGACGCUGAGGCGCGACAGCGUGGGGAGCAAACAGG
rnacentral:rRNA from 1 species